GUCGCGGUGGCCUCAUGGUUAGUGCGCUCGUCUCCGGAUCGAGCGGUCCAGGUUCGAGCCCUGGCUGGGACA
rnacentral:tRNA from 1 species